GACAGAGGGUGCAAACGUUGCUCGGAAUUACUGGGCGUAAAGCGCGUGUAGGCGGACUUGUAAGUCGGAUGUGAAAUCCCUGAGCUCAACUCAGGAACUGCAUUCGAAACUGCAAGUCUGGAGUGGUGGAGAGGGAAGCAGAAUUCCUGGUGUAGAGGUGAAAUUCGUAGAUAUCAGGAGGAACACCGGUGGCGAAGGCGGCUUCCUGGACACUUACUGACGCUGAGACGCGAAAGCGUGGGGAGCAAACAGG
rnacentral:rRNA from 1 species